CUGGGGAUGUUAUUGGACGGUGGAAGGAGUACUUUGAGGAUCUCCUCAAUCCCUCCGACAUGCCUUCUGCUGAGGAAGCAGAGGCAGGGGACUCAAAGGCGGACUCGCCCAUCACCCAGGCUGAGGUCACUGAGGUAGUUAGUAAGCUCCUCGGUGGCAAAACAGCAGGGGUGGAUGAGAUCCGUCCUGAGUACCUCAAGUCUCUAGAUGUUGUGGGGCUGUCUUGGGUGACACGCCUCUGCAACAUCGCGUGAAGGAGGGGGACAGUUCCUCUGGACUGGACAACCGGGGUGGUUGUCCCUCUUUACAAAAAGGGGGACAGGAGAGUGUGUUCCACCUAUAGGGGGAUCACACUUCUCAGCCUCCCUGGGAAAGUCUAUGCCAGGGUACUGGAGAGGAGAAUUCGGCCAAUAGUCGAACCUCUAAAACAGGAGGAACAAUGUGGUUUUCGGGCUGGUCGUGGAACGCUGGACCAGCUUUAUACGAGCAAAACACAUCAGCAGGAGGUGAUCUAGUCUUUAAUUUACUCCAUUUAUCUAACCAUGUGUCCUCUCUUUGGUUCAUGCUUCCACUUGGUGAGAUCAGUGACUAAUUACUCCUUUCUACAAAAUCCAGCCUCUGAUGAACUGAACUACGCAGCAGUGAAAUUCCGUCAAAAGGAAAGACGAAGAGAAGUGGAGCCAAACGUUGUGUAUUCUGCUACUAGAUAGAGUGAAGAAGCAACAAACACAGUACCGUCUUCUACUUGGAAAGGAACCGUCACCUUCCUCCUUCCCCAACCAUCAGCGUGAUGUGACCGCCCGAGUGGGUGAAGCCUGACAUAGCAAGGGCCAGUUCUUCUUCCAAAGCCCCUUCUGACCACAGCGCUGACAGAUGUUUCCUGGAUCCUCGGAUGCAGCUCUAUUGGGCCAAUCACGUCUGAAGCCUCUCUGGUUGUUUCGGUGACAGAUGUAGCUUACUCUGCUGUUUCUCUUCCUUGUUUUCCUUUGCUGAAGAUUGUCAUAAGUAUGGCGACACACACGCUUCCUCUUUCCAUCCAAUGUGUGAUUGUAUAUACAAUGAAUUCAGUAGCACCUUCUAUAAUUAUAACUAACUAUAACUGUAACUAUAAAGAAACAUCUGUUUGUCAAAAUUGCAAGUCUAUGGACAGUAAUACCCUUUAUAUUGACUCUGUGUUUCAGUCAGGUAGUUUGUAGGACACAUUCAUUCAGAGCAAUGUACCCUGUGGUGUGUUUAUCAUGCUGCACACUGAAGGAGUCAUCACUUAUAGCAUUAUAUUAUUAGAUCAAACAUAUGCCCCUUUUAUUCAGGUGGGACAUCCAUAGUUCUACUAUCUCCAUAAUAAAUAUAAUUAAAAGUUAUGUUAUAUAACAGUUAUAAUUAACCUAGACUUAAAAACCAACAAAGACAAAAAACAAACAAGCUACAUCUGACACGUGACAUAUAACACACAAGCUGAUCUUAAAAUGGUUCACAAUCUUGCUUAAUUUUUACUCGUACGGGGGUUGCUCUUAUAAGCCCACAUGGCUUCACAAAUUUUUCGACACAUCAUCAUGUCUCAUUAGUGUUUUUUUAACAAAUACAACAAAUGUGAAAGACAGGUAAAUAAUCUGCCAACAUGACAAUAUAUUUUCACAUAUCGAUAAGUGU